CCUACGGGUGGCAGCAGUCGAGAAUCAUUCACAAUGGGGGAAACCCUGAUGGUGCGACGCCGCGUGGGGGAAUGAAGGUCUUCGGAUUGUAAACCCCUGUCAUGUGGGAGCAAAUUAAAAAGAUAGUACCACAAUAGGAAGAGACUGCUAACUCUGUGCCGGCAGCCGCGGUAAUACAGAGGUCUCAAGCGUUGUUCGGAAUCACUGGGCGUAAAGCGUGCGUAGGCUGUUUCGUAAGUCGUGUGUGAAAGGCGCGGGCUCAACCCGCGGACGGCACAUGAUACUGCGAGACUAGAGUAAGGGAGGGGGAACCGGAAUGCUCGGUGUAGCAGUGAAAUGCGUAGAUAUCGAGAGGAACACUCGUGGCGAAGGCGGGUUCCUGGACAUUAACGGACGCUGAGGCACGAAGGCCAGGGGAGCGAAAGGGAUUAGAUACCCCAGUAGUC
rnacentral:rRNA from 1 species